rnacentral:sRNA from 1 species
UGGUAAAAUAUUUGAUAAGGGCGUAGUA